CAGUCCCUUUGGCGCAUUUCACGAAGAGAGAAAGAGGAAAGAGGCAGCGUCCUUUUCCAUUGCAAGGGUACACACCACGAGGGGAAUACGACAGGAAAAGAAGACUCAUAGAACGGUCAGAAAUGUCCACGUUUGAAAAAGGAAAAAUAUCUGAAACUAGCGGCUCUUCAAUGAAAAUGAUUAGAGUAUAAGUUGUUAUCAGUUAUCAUCAA
ensembl:ncRNA D2021.5 ncRNA